rnacentral:lncRNA from 1 species
ACCCUCCCUCUCCCCCCUCCCACACCAAUCCUCACACAGCAACAAUCCUCACGGUUUCCUUCACUUCCUAGUGGUCAACUAAAACCCAGAGGAGGGGUGGAGAUCCUCAUCUGAUUGCAAAUUGGGUAGAAGCUCUGUGGUUAAGACUGAGUAUGGACUUUGAAAUCAGACCUGAAAGGGAAUAGCUCUCCCCUUCACUACUUGCUGUCUUAUGUAAAUGGGGCCAAUGAAGUCUCUUUGAACACCCUUUCUUGUUCAUACAGAAGUAAUAUCUAACUGAAGGGGGAAAAGGAUUAAAUGAGAAAAUAUUUACAUGGAAAGUUUUUUUUUUUUUUUUUUUUUUGGUACUGGGGAUCGAACUCGGGACCUUGCCCUUUCCAGGCAGGCGGUGGAACCACUAAGCUAAAUCCCGGGCCCUACAUGGAAAGUUUUAGCACAGUACCCGGCAAACAGUAAGACCUCAAUUCAUAACUAUUUAAUCCAGUUCAAAAACUGCUAAGUAACUGCAUGUUUUGGUAUACUCGGAACUAGCAAGUAAGUUAAAACUGGAACCAAAAGAUAAGCUUAAGAUCUGAUUCUCUUAAACACAUAUUGAAUAUAUAUUCUGCCUUUAACAAGAUAAACGUUUUAACUGAGUUACUGAACUACGGCUCACGAUUUACCUUUUUACCUACUUAAUUUCUUACCUGAUUCAUAGGAAUUAUUUGUGCCAGGCAAAGUGCACCCUACUUGACCUCAGAAAACAGCACCGGGACAAAAAUAGUUAAGCUGGUGAGGGAAGCAAUACGAGUCUAAGAAACUGCGGAUCCGCUGAGCGAGGCUGCCUGUCUUUCCCCUUGUUUGAACGGACCUUUCGGUUUCUCAGGGAAUAAGAAUUUUAGUCAAUAAUGAGGAGGAGCUCCGCUGGGUUGUUCUCUGUCGUGGUCUCCAGCAGUGACCCAGAUGAAAUAACCACUGCAACACUGACUACUCGAUCUGCCGGCUUGAAAGACUCCAGACCGGUGACUUUAUGGAUUAUGAUUCACCUUCCCUGUCCUGUUUUGAUGAGACACCACGACGGAACCAUCCCUGUCAAUAUAAGUUUCCAGUUUCCACCCUGUCAAUUCGCCCUGUACUAAUUGGCGCGCAGGUGAGAUUUCCUGUCGCCAUUUUAAGCAGACACGAGUCCCUCACAAGGAAGUGCCCAGUUAGAAGGGGCUGUGCUUGAAACAAAGAGUAGGCUGAAGAAAGAGAACCGGGCCCAGCAGCUCCCGCCCUCCAUCCUUCUCCCGCAUCCUCCAACGCUCCCAGUCCGGACUUGGGAGGGCCGGGAACGCCGCAGCCCUCGGGGCGGAGUAACGCGGAAUCUCCACUCUCGGC